rnacentral:rRNA from 1 species
UUGGCUCAGAACGAACGCUGGCGGCGUGCUUAACACAUGCAAGUCGAACGAUGAAGCCCAGCUUGCUGGGUGGAUUAGUGGCGAACGGGUGAGUAACACGUGAGCAACCUGCCCCUGACUCUGGGAUAAGCGCUGGAAACGGCGUCUAAUACUGGAUACGAACAAGAAUCGCAUGGUUACUUGUUGGAAAGAUUUUUUGGUUGGGGAUGGGCUCGCGGCCUAUCAGCUUGUUGGUGAGGUAAUGGCUCACCAAGGCGUCGACGGGUAGCCGGCCUGAGAGGGUGACCGGCCACACUGGGACUGAGACACGGCCCAGACUCCUACGGGAGGCAGCAGUGGGA